GUAAUCCGAUCUCCCCUGGAGAGAAAAUGCUGCUCACCUUCAUGAUUUUGUCUGAAAUCUGGAUGAUCUUUUGCCUGGAUAAUGGUCAACACUCAAUUUGGCUUUGAAGAGUCAGGCCCACAAUCUCAAUUGUGAUAUAGAGGAGAGCCCACAUUUCUACUCAGAUUUUUGCUACAAAAAUAGAAUUCGUAUCUAAAAUAAUAAAGAAUUAAUUGAUAUCUCAUAUAAGUUGAAUCAUGCAAUAUCUGUCCUUCUGUGACUGGCUUAUUUUACUUAGCAUAACUCCCUCUAGGUUCAUCUAUUUCACCUAUAUGAUGUAUCUAAGAUACUUAAACGCAUAGAAGCUGAA
rnacentral:lncRNA from 1 species